rnacentral:rRNA from 1 species
AGAGUUUGAUCCUGGCUCAGGAUGAACGCUAGCGGCAGGCUUAACACAUGCAAGUCGAACGGUAACAGGAAAAGCUUGCUUUUCGCUGACGAGUGGCGAACGGGGGCGUAACACAUGCAACCUACCUUUAACUGAGGGAUAGCCCAAAGAAAUUUGGAUUAAUACCUCAUAACAUUACGAGAUCACAUGUUCUUGUAAUUAAAACUCCGGUGGUUAAAGAUGGGCAUGCGCAACAUUAGCUAGUUGGUAAGGUAAUGGCUUACCAAGGCAACGAUGUUUAGGGGGUCUUAAAGGAUGGUCCCCCACACUGGUACUGAGACACGGACCAGACUCCUACGGGAGGCAGCAGUGAGGAAUAUUGGUCAAUGGACGAAAGUCUGAACCAGCCAUGCCGCGUGAAGGAUGACGGCCCUACGGGUUGUAAACUUCUUUUAUAUGGGAAGAAACUCCACUACGUGUAGUGGACUGACGGUACCAUACGAAUAAGGAUCGGCUAACUCCGUGCCAGCAGCCGCGGUAAUACGGAGGAUCCAAGCGUUAUCCGGAUUUAUUGGGUUUAAAGGGUGCGCAGGCGGACUAAUAAGUCAGUGGUGAAAUCUCUCGGCUCAACCGAGAAACUGCCAUUGAUACUGUUAGUCUUGAGUACAGUUGUAGUGGGCGGAAUAUAGCAUGUAGCGGUGAAAUGCUUAGAUAUGCUAUAGAACACCGAUCGCGAAGGCAGCUCACUAAGCUGUAACUGACGCUCAGGCACGAAAGCGUGGGGAGCAAACAGGAUUAGAUACCCUGGUAGUCCACGCCGUAAACGAUGAUUACUCGAUGUUGGCAAUACACCGUCAGCGUCCAAGCGAAAGCGUUAAGUAAUCCACCUGGGGAGUACGCUCGCAAGAGUGAAACUCAAAGGAAUUGACGGGGGCCCGCACAAGCGGAGGAGCAUGUGGUUUAAUUCGAUGAUACGCGAGGAACCUUACCUGGGCUCAAACGUAGAAUGACAGUUUGUGAAAACAGAUCUCCCUUCGGGGCAAUCUACGAGGUGCUGCAUGGUUGUCGUCAGCUCGUGCCGUGAGGUGUCGGGUUAAGUCCCAUAACGAGCGCAACCCCUAUUCUUAGUUGCCAUCAGGUAAUGCUGGGGACUCUAAGAAAACUGCCUACGCAAGUAGUGAGGAAGGUGGGGAUGACGUCAAAUCAGCACGGCCCUUACGUCCAGGGCUACACACGUGCUACAAUGGUCGAUACAGAGGGCAGCUACCAUGUGAAUGGAUGCAAAUCUCGAAAAUCGAUCUCAGUUCGGAUCGAAGUCUGCAACUCGACUUCGUGAAGUUGGAUUCGCUAGUAAUCGCAUAUCAGCCAUGAUGCGGUGAAUACGUUCCCGGGCCUUGUACACACCGCCCGUCAAGCCAUGGAAGCUGGGGGUACCUGAAGUUCGUGACCGCAAGGAGCGACCUAGGGUAAAACUAGUAACUAGGGCUAAGUCGUAACAAGGUAGCCAAGGGCGAA